rnacentral:misc_RNA from 1 species
AUAUACACACAUACACACACAUACAUACAUAUAUACAUAUAUACAUAUACAUAUAUAUGUAUAUACCUGCGGGCGCAUUGCGACCAAAAGCGUCGCAGAAUCAUCCGCUGCAGCAGCAGCCAAUGAAGGCGAAACAAAAAAACAACACGGUCCGUUCAUUAUCGAAACUGAAAUGCGAACGCGCGCGCUCUCUCUGCGGCGGGCUGCAGGGGAGCCCAUCAGAGCAGCGGUUGCUUGCGGGAAACUCGGUGGCCUCGACGUCUUUCUCAUCGGCUUGCUUCCUGUAGCGCCGACGACUUGGCGGCGAGGCCUUGCGUCGCGGCAGAGCACCUCGCGUCCGUCUUUCGUCUCCUGCUGCCGCGUCCCUCAGCGGGCCGUCUUUGUCCGCUUCCAGCCAACCCCCAACGACGCGUGUUACAAGUUUUAUGUCGAUGAGAUGCAGUUUCUGCCGCCCAACGCCCACACGAUGGUGUUCAACAGCACAAACAGCUACAUUUCUCCACUUGCCCACACGCUGCUUGAGGCGCUGCCGAUGGUGGAGGAAGUCACCGUGGGUACGUCCUUUGUGACGGUGAAGCGCGUGGAGGAGGCGAAUGCGGCGGCUGCGGCCCGCUACUUUGCCAUGAAGUUAAACAGAGUGCAGCAGAACCACGAGACCGACGAGGAAGCUGCUGCGGCGCGCUCGCAGGCGCUGCAGCAGCGCGUCGCCGACGCUUUAAAAAAGGACGGCGAGACAGCAGCCGAACCCCGUAGUUGCAAUGCAGCUUCUACCGCACCGCCGUUGUCGCCGGCGGAUGCGCCCUUUGACGUCGGCGGGUUCACAGUUUCGCCAUCUUCGCAGGACGAACAAAACGACGAGGCUGCCCUGCAGUCACUGAUCGCCGAGACAGACUGGUCAGAGCUCAAGUUGCACGUAAGCGCCCUGCUCACGGAUCACAUCUGCAGCGGCAACCCGCACGUCGAUCCCAGCGCCCCCCAUCCCCACGCCGACACAGUCCCGGAGGAGGGCGAUUCGGAGGUGGUGCUGAUGAUCAAGGAGCUUGUCUCCACCACGAUCCGACCGCAGCUGCAGGACGAUGGCGGUGACCUCCGCUUCGUCGGUUUUGACCCCGUCUUGGGCGACAUGCACGUCGAGCUGCUUGGGGCGUGCCGCACCUGCAAGAGCAGUAAGACAACGCUCGUGGAUUUGAUCGAGCGCACCACACGGCACUGGAUACCUGAGGUGAGCGCCGUCAAAGACGUCUCGCGGGCCACCUCCGCGUUCGAAGACUUUGCCGCACAUCACAGCAACGCGGCGGCAGCAGGCGCAGCUGGCCUCUCUUCCUCGCCACUUACAGACCGAAUCGCAGGGGAAGUUGAUGACGGUUCGCCGAAUGCAAAAGGCACAGUGCAGUUUUCUCCGUCGCCGACGUCGGUGUCGGCGCGCGCUGCGUCGGGCGCGUACAAGAUGGUGCGCAAAGUGCAGGCGUCCUCUGCUGGAGAAGCCGGAACUGCCUGCUCUGCUGCUGCACCGUCGUGAUGUUCGUCAUGGUGGCGCGCCAUACUACUUGCCCUCUGCUGCGCCUCCCAUCCUUUUGUUUCUCUUUCCUCUUUUGGAUGUGAGUGAUUCACCGAUUCCCUUCUUACUCUUUCGCACUCCCUCAUGAAG